UUCUCCCUCGACUCUCUUGUUCUUAUCCAGUGUGUUGAAUGUAAAUUAAGAGAAGUGAAAAUAAGUCUCUGUUAAAGUAACAAGGAAAGUUGAUGAUGAGAGCUGUACUCUGCAGUCACCCUGACACCUAGUUGGGGUGGUGGAGACCUAAAGGAUUUCCUGAUGCUUUCCUUGACUUAAAGCAGCACAUACUGAGUAGUACUGUUAUAGCAUCUUUAUUUGUUCCUUUCUCUAUUUGUGUUCCUUUCUAGACCAUGGGAAUCUAUGACUCUGGGAUAACUCUGAGACACUUGGGGACGUAUCACUCAGGGAUAACUCUGAGGUAAGAAUGUUGUGUGUGUGCUAUUCUCAUUUUGAGUGUCGAAAGAAGCCACUUAACUUUAGAUUAACCUCAGCACUCAGGUUGUUGCCCUUUUGGCCCUACUGUGAUAUCAGGGGGUCAGGUGACAAGGAAAGUGGUUGAUGAGAUCUGUAACCUGCAGUCACCCUGAAGGAGAGUUUAUCGCCACAACCCUAACAUGGUUAUUCAAGUAAUAGCCUUGUGUGAAGAGAUUUAUAUUGGCCUGUAAAGGGCUCUUAUGUGUUUUUUACCUCUAGGGGGCAACAUUACCUUUCACUAGAAUCUAGAGUAAAUACGUGGGGCUGUUGUCAGCUAUAGUGUCAGUUUGCACAUGGUUUCAAUCUGCUGACCAACUGAACCCGUAUUAGAUUCAACAGUAAACAUCACACAGACAGACAACUGAACUUUCCACCACAGUUGCAUGAUAACUGUUGGCAGGUGAUGCUCAUUCACUUGUGGCUCCUCUUGCAGUAGUGUGAGCGACAACCUCAAAAUAAUGUGAACAUCACUGUUAACAAAUAGCACAUCAAACAGUUUGUUUUGAUUAUCUGAUGGUGUUCUAUGUCUGCCCAGGCUACCUCACCUGUUGGGCAUUGAGGAAGAAGACCUCAUCCUUGUCUGAUUGUAGAGAACAUGGGCCAACUGGUCCAUUUUAUAUCUUUAGAGCACACUCAGAAAGAGAGAGUGAGUCACAUGACUCACAAAAACACUUCUAGCAUUUUGAGGACUUAGGGACAGAUUGAAAUUUACUGGGGGGGUCAUUAAAAAAGAAAUGCACUCCCCCAACUUUUUUUUUCACAUGACCCUCCCCUUGUACUGUAAAAUAAAUGCAACACCCUCCCCCUCAGAGUUAACUAAAAAUGUUUAUGACCACAAAUAACUGUUUAUAAACAGGGAUAUAUAAUUCGCUACUGUAGCACAGUCGAUGCCAUGCAGGGCAACGGGCCUGAAGGUUGAGGGUUCGCCGACCACCACAGGGGAGCUCACUGUCGUCCACCAAAGCAAGGGGGAAAAUCAGAUUUUCAACAUUUUGAUGCCAUAUUUAUAAUUCUAUAAGCCUCUGGGACCAAUUCGUAAGCCCGAAGGAUAGCAGCUUUAAGUGUCCUAAUUUUCUGAGCUUUUCUGAGCUUUUCUGAGCUUUUCCCACAAAAAACACUUUGGAGGAGCAGUGACCAAAUAUACUACAUGGCCUUAAGUUUAAGCCUGGCUCAUAGUCGGCGUUCCAAUUCAUCCCAAAGGUGUUCGAUGGGGUUGAGCUCAGGGCUCUGUGCAGGCCAAGUUGUUGCACACUGAUCUCGACAAACCAUGUCUGUAUGGACCUCGCUUUGUGCACGGGGGCAUUGUCAUGCUGAAACAAGGAAGGGCCUUCCCAAAACUGUUGCUACAAAAGUUGGAAGCACAGAAUUUUUUUAGAAUAUAAUUGUAUGCUGUAGCGUUAAAAUUUCACUUCACUGGAUCUAAGUGGCCUAGCCUGAACCAUGAAAAACAGCCCCAGACCAUUAUUCCUCCUCCACCAGACUUUACAGCUGGUGCUAUGCAUUCGGGCAGGUAGUGUUCUCCUGGCAUCCGCCAAACCCAGAUUAGUCUGUUGAAUUACUAGAUGGUGAAGCGUAAUUCAUCACUCCAGAGAUCACAUUUUCACUGCUCCAGAGUCCAAUGGCGGUGAGCUUUACGCCAGCCGACGCUUGGCAUUGCGCAUGAUGCUCUUAGGCUUGUAUGCAGCUGCUUGGCCAUGGAAACCCAUUUCAUGAAGCUCCCGACGAACAACCGAGGACAGAUGAUUUUUACUCGCUACUCGCUUCAGCACUUGGAGGUCCCAUUCUGUGAGCUUGUGUAGCCUACUACUUCACGGCUGAGUUGUUGUUGCUCCUAGACGUUUCCACUCCACAAUAACAGCACUUACAGUUGACUAGGUUAGAAAUUUGACAAACUGACUUGUUGGAAAGGUGAUAUUGUAUGUCUGUGUGCUCAAUUUUUAUACACCUGUCAGCAACGGGUGUGGCUGAAAUGGCCGAAUCCAUUUAAUUUGAAGGGUUGUCCACAUACUUUUGACCAUGUAGUGUCUCGCAGCCAUUUGUAGGGAUUUAGCAAGUCACUCAGAGUAAAAUAUAUAUAUCCACCUCCUUUUUGUUGAAAGGCGGUACAGUGCAGGAUGGCCUGACUUUAUUCGGAGUACUUCCAGAUCUAUCUCCCUUUGUCGCGCUUCCAGCUCCAUCGCUCUCUUUCAAUGGAAUGGAAUGGCAUGCGCACAUUCUUCUUCUAGUCUGGCUGCAUGUUCUCAUUCCCUUUCCUAGUGCUCAAGCUCUAACUUCUGUUCCCAUUUUGCCUUUAGUACUACCUCUCCCAGUUGCAUGUCUAUGGGAUGCACUCUACCACCCGUAGAACCCUUAUCAUCCUCCCUCUCCUGAAGGAUUUCCCCCUCCACCAAAGCAGUAUAGACUAACUCUUUUGACUACUGCUUUCUAAUCAGCAUGUGCAACUUUGAUAUCAUAAUGCUUUGCGAUGAGGAGCAGAAACUUUUUUACAUUUAUCUAGCAUCUCCCAUGUAAGGUUUUCCACAAAUGCUUCCAAAUUAAAGUAAGUAAAUGUUUUUAAUUUUAUAAACUUAUGUGUUUAUACAACUUUCAAAAUGUGGAAUGGUGCUACUUGAUCUUCAGAAGGCUUUUGAUACAUUUAAUCAUAGCAUCCUACUUGCCAAGCUAGAGGCUCUUGGUUGGGAAUUACUGCUCUUGUGUUGGGCAGUACUACUCUUGAAGUCCUACUUGUCGGGGAGAGAAGUGGUUGAGGUAAAUGGUUUGCCCCCGAGGCUAAACCCAUAAGCUGUAGCAUGCCACAGGGGAGUGUGCUAGGGCCUCUGCUAUUCCUGCUGUACAUACAUGAUUUGAAGGAUGCUUGCUCAUGUCAUGUCAUCUGUUUCUUUAUGCAGAUGACCAAACCACACUGGAAAGUAUACUGAGUGCAGAGCUCACUAACAACAAAGACAACAAGCUAUCUCUGCACCUCAGCAAAACAGAAGCAAUUCUUUUCGGGUCCAAAAUGAAACUAAGCAAGUCCUCAUACAUCAGGGUACAGCUAGCAGGAGAGGUACUCACAGCCAAACAUCAGUUAAUUAAUUAGGAUGUACACUAGAUGACCUGGGAGGGGAGGGGGGAAAUGUCUAUGGCUAUUAAGUUACUAGGUAAGGUCUCUGCCACAAACACGUAGGAAGGCUAGAAAGUCUAAGCUGUUGAAAAAAUAUUCAAAGAAAGUGCUAGCAAAUGUUCUCAUCUAAUGGCAUUUUGACAAUGCUAGCACUUCCUGGUUCGAAUGCUCAACUAAUCUACUAAAAAGCAAGAUUCAGGUAGCCCAGAACAAGUUGAUUGAUCUCACAUACUCAUAUUGGGUAGUAGCCAAUUUCAGGAGCUCAACUGGCUGCCCGUUGAGUCAAGAAUCACACAGACCAAGCUUUGUCUGGUACAUAGGAUCAAGCUCCUAGGUAUUUGUAUGUCCUACUUUCCCCAUGUUAGAGAUUCACACAACAGUAGAGCUAGGAUAUCUAAUGUGUAUGUGUGUGGUUUCAGAAGCCUGACAGGGUAAGGUACCUUUUUAUAUUCAGGAGCCUCUGAGUGGAAUAGUCUGCCUCUGUCUGUUAAAACUAUUCCCACUCUGAGUAGCUUUUAAAGGAAGGUGAAAUCCUGGUUAAUGGAUAGUGCUUCUGUGAGCAAUCCUUCCUAGCCCAUGGAUGAUGACCAAAUAGAAUUCCUUUGUGUAUAGCAUGUAUACACUACCGGUCUAAAGUUUUAGAUCACUUACUCAUUCAAGGGUUUUUCUUUAUUUUGACUAUUUUCUACAUUGUAGAAUAAUAGUUUAGACAUCAACACCAUGAAAUAACACAUGGAAUCAUGUAGUAACCAAAAAAGUGUUAAACAAAUCCAAAUCUGUAGCUACCCUUUGCCUCUGACAGCUUUGCACGCUCUUGGCAUUCUCUAAACCAGCUUCGAGGUAGUCACCUGGAUUGCGUUUCAAUUAACAGGUGUUCCUUGUUAAUUAAACGUUAAUUUGUUGUUUUUAUGACUAAAUAACCUAAUUGACUUCCAUUUUAGCUUCUGUUUAAAAAAAAAAUUCUUUCCACAUAUCCUGAACUUGCUAAAUGCUAUCAUGAAAGUAGACUACAAUGGAAAUAAUACUUUUUUAAAAAUGUAUCCUCAAUGAUUCCUAAUCAAGUACCUAACUUUGUAUGUGUACCUUGUUGUAAAUGAUAAAAUAAACCAAGCUUAUUAUGACUGUGUCACAUUCUUUUCAGGUCACCCCUAUUCCUCAGUGACACACUACAUCCGGCAUUGUCCCCCACUCACCCACCCACAUCUGAGAGAUUUUCCUAGUAUUUUAAAAUUGUUCCAUCCUGAGAAGUUUGAGAAACAGACGCCUCACAAGUCCUCAACUGGCAGCUUCAUUAAAUAGCACCCGCAAAACACCAGUCUCAACCUCAACAGUGAAGAGGCGACUCCGGGAUGCUGGCCUUAUAGGCAUCAUCCCGGAGAUGCUGCCUAUAAAUGAAAUGUUUGCAAAUUUAAAAAUAAAUGAUCUCACCUUUACAUAAGUAUUCAGACCCUUUACUCAAUGCUUUGUUAAGGCAGCGAUUACAGAGUCUUCCUGGGUAUGACGCUACAAGCUUGGCACACCUGUAUUUGGGGAGUUUAUCCCAUUCUUCUCUGCAGAUCAUGUCAAGCUCUCUCAGGUUGGAUGGGGAGCGUCACUGCACAGCUAUUUUCAGGUCUCCAGAGAUGUUCGAACGGGUUCAAGUCCGGGCUCUGGCUGGCCAGUUUUCAUCAAUGAUCUCUCUGUAUUCUGCUCUGUUCAUCUUUCCCUUGAUCCUGACUAGUCUCCCAGUCCCUGCCGCUGAAAAACCUCCCCACAGCCUGAUGCUGCCACCACCAUGCUUCACCGUAGUGAUGGUGCCAGGUUUCCUCCAGAUGUGACGCUUGGCAUUCAGGCCAAAUAUUUCCAUCUUGGUUUCGUCAGACCAGAGAAUCUUGUUUUUCAUGGUCUGAGAGUCUUUAGGUGCCUUUUGGCAAACUCCAAGUGGACUGUCAUGCUUUUUACUGAGGAGUGGCUUCCAUCUGGCCACUCUACCAUAAAGGCCUGAUUGGUGGAGUGCUGCAGAGAUGGUUGUCCUGAAAGGUUCUCCCAUCUCCACAGAGGAACUCUGGAGCUCUGUCAGUGACCAUUUGGGUUCUUGGUCACCUCCCUGACCAAGGCCUUUCUCCCCUGAUUGCUCAGUUUGGCUCGGCAGCCAGCUCUAGGAAGAGUCUUGGUGGUUCCAAACUUCUUCCAUUUAAGAAUGAUGGAGGCCACUGUGUUCUUGGGGACCUUCAAUGCUGCAAAAUGUUUUUGUACCCUUCACCAGAUCUGUACUUCCACACAAUCCUGUCUCGACGCUCUACAGACAAUUCCUUUGACCUCAUGGUUUGGUUUUUGCUCUGACAUGCACUGUCAACCGUGGGACGUUUAUAUAUAGACAGGUGUGUGUCUUUCCAAGUCAUGUCCAAGCAAUUGAAUUUACCACAGGUAGAAACAUCAAGGACGAUCAAUGGAAUCAGGAUUCACCUGAGCUCAAUUUCAAGUCUCCUAGCAAAGGGUCUGAAUACUUACGUAAUGUUUUUUACAUUUUAUAUGCACUGUAUGUCAAUCUAGAAGAGGAUUAUCUAUUUUGGAUGCAAUUUGAAUGGAGUUGGAGUGUGCUUCGGUGCACUGAUUUAAGGCAAUACAUUUUAAAAAAUCAAUUAAAAAAUCAAGGGGACCCCAGAAAGCCAGAUAAAUUAGACACGAAUUUGGUCUUUAUAUUACUGUAGCAUAGGAUAUGCUGCAGCAGAUGUAGGUGUACCUGGGUAAUGUGGGGGGGGGGGACGACUUCUUGCCUUACUGCAUGUGAGGAUUGGUCCCCAAGGCAACUAAGGAGAAUUGGGGGAAGAUAGAAACCGAUGGUAACAACAAUGGAUAUUUUUUGUUUAUGUGCUGUGGACGUGUAAUGCCUCUGACUCACCAGCCGUCGUGUCCGUCUGUGAGGGUGAAUGGAGCCGUCCUCCUCCAUGCAACACACAAACUGCUGGAACAACAAACGCUGUGCUGCGGCCUCCUGGCAUGUUAGCUCUCCCACUUAGCUUUGGGUCAGAGGGUUUUUAUCUGUUAUUUCUACUCUUUACCGCUCUGCUCCCGUCUUACUUCCUGUUCUUCCAGGGGUCCAACAGUUGUUUGUGGCUGAGGCACAGAGAAUUAAAGGAGUGGGUCUCAGGACACAGACCAUAGGGAGUCUAUCCAUGACUAUCAAGGAUAAUUGGUCACUUUCCUGUGUUCUGAUUUUCAUGUCCUCCUUGGGAAGAACAAGUAAGGUGUACCAUUAAAUCAUUUGUGUGAUUCACAGGUAUGACUGAGGGGCAAGAGCUUGUUUCCUGUGGUUUAAUGGAAGACUUCAGUGUUCUUUAAAUUCUCAAACGGAUAGAGAUGCUGGCUGUGGCCAUUAAUGUGCACAGAACAGCUACAGUAACCUUUCCCCUCUGUAUCUGUCUCUAGGUCCCUGUCUCAGCCUACAAGGGUUCUUUGGAUAAAGGCUAUCUAUGGCCUUAAUUUGGUAUUGAAUUGGAUUACCUAAUAAUAUAAAGAAUAUGGUGUGUGUGACGACCCUCCCACUCUGUCUGCUGUAUUCUCUCUUUGUUCUUGUUUCCUUAUUAGGAUGCGGAUGGGCGGAGUUGGGAGGGUCGUCAGCUACAUGGGAAACACCUGGGCCCGGUGUGUCCCAGGAUAUAAUCACCACUUCCCCAUUCAUAGGGGAGACUUUCUCCAUGCAGACACUUUUCUAGAUUUUGUUGUUUCUUGGUGGCCUUUUGGUUGUUUGCUUUGGCACCUUUCAACACCCUGCAAUAUCACAUUUAUACAUGAAAAACACUCACUUACACUACUGAUUACUGAUUACACACACCAUUGUAUAUUGUACUUAGUUUACUUUAUUUAAUAAAUAUAUGUUUUGUUAUUCCUUA